CAGAUUCAGCCACUGUUGGAAAUCUGUGACAGCCUGAAGGGGCAAAGCAAUACUUCCUUGUACCAGUUCUUCAGGGAAUUGUGAGAAAAGUCAACAUUUGCAAAUGAGCUGGCUGUCAUGACCCUGUGUGCUUCUGGGCAUGCUGUCUACUGCACAGUCAUCAGCAACUGAGGAGGUCCAGUUCCAACACAUACAUUCCAAGGAGAUUCCUCUUGUUGCAGAACACAAGUAUAAGCAUGAAAGAAAAACUAACUAAGCAAGUAGAAAUGCAUUCUGUAAUAUUGUGCAAAGAACGGGGAGUUCAUCUCCACCAAGUUUUAUGGUGAAAAUUCUGUAAAGCAGUGGAAAUCUGAAAUCUGGCACACAACCCAGACUCAUCAUGCUUAGAUGCUCUAAAUAACAA